rnacentral:rRNA from 1 species
UACGGAGGGUGCAAGCGUUAUCCGGAUUCACUGGGUUUAAAGGGUGCGUAGGAGGGCAGGUAAGUCAGUGGUGAAAUCUCCGAGCUUAACUCGGAAACUGCCGUUGAUACUAUCUGUCUUGAAUACCGUGGAGGUGAGCGGAAUAUGUCAUGUAGCGGUGAAAUGCUUAGAUAUGACAUAGAACACCAAUUGCGAAGGCAGCUCACUACACGAGCAUUGACUCUGAGGCACGACAGCGUGGGGAGCAAACAGG